AUCUAUGGCUUUGCCUCCAAUUCUUUCAAAUCUUGCGUUUAUACUCAAUAGGUUUCUCUGCUUCAGUUCCUUGCCAAAAACCCAAAGAGGAAAACUAAGAAAAUGCAAGCCAAGGCCCUCCUAACUCAUCCUUCUCCCACUCCUCCUCUCCAAAACCCUAACCUGAAACUCCGUCCUUCCCCUCCUCUGUUCACUAAGAAAUCCACUCUCUCAACCCCUCGUUUUCACCAAUCCUUUUUACGAUCUUUUUCACGCAAUUUUGUCCCCCAGAAUCAAAGUAGUAAACUGAAACGUUACUGCAUUAGCCUUGGCCAAGAACUAAAUUUUGAAAGCAAUGAAGCUUUGGUUGAAGAAGAAGAAGAAGAAAAAGAGGAGGAUGAGGAGGAGGUGAGAGUGGAAAUUGAGGCAGAAGGAUUAGCAAAUCAGAGCAUAUGGAAUCAAAUGAAGGAGAUUGUGAUGUUUACUGGACCUGCUAGUGGGCUUUGGAUCUGCGGGCCAUUGAUGAGCCUCAUUGACACUGCGGUUAUUGGCCAAGGAAGCUCAAUUGAGCUUGCUGCUUUAGGUCCCGCAACGGUUGUUUGUGAUUAUAUGGGUUACGUGUUUAUGUUCCUUUCAGUUGCUACUUCCAAUAUGGUGGCCACUUCCCUUGCUAGACGGGAUAAAAAUGAAGUCCAGCAUCAGAUAUCUAUCCUGCUUUUUAUUGGGUUGAUUUGUGGAUUCUUGAUGCUUUUCUUUACAAGAUUAUUUGGUUCACAGGCCAUAACUGCUUUUUCUGGGACAAAGAACGCACAUCUUGUACCUGCUGGAAACACAUACGUUCAGAUUAGAGGUCUAGCAUGGCCAGCAGUUCUUGUUGGAUGGGUUGCUCAAAGUGCCAGUCUUGGUAUGAAAGAUUCCUGGGGACCAUUGAAAGCUUUGGCAGUUGCCAGUGCCAUAAAUGGCAUUGGUGAUGUUGUCCUCUGCAUCUUUUUAGGCUAUGGUAUUGCUGGUGCAGCAUGGGCAACAAUGGUUUCACAGGUUGUUGCAGCUUAUAUGAUGAUUGAAGCUCUGAACAAGAAAGGGUACAAUGCAUUUUCCAUCUCCAUUCCAUCACUCAAUGAGCUGAUGGCUGUGCUAACGCUUGCUGCUCCAGUGUUUGUAACUAUGAUGUCAAAGGUAGCUUUUUACUCUCUGCUUAUAUAUUUUGCCACGUCUAUGGGCACACAUACUGUUGCUGCUCAUCAGGUCAUGCUUCAAACACUUGGCAUGUGCACUGUAUGGGGUGAGCCUCUCUCUCAAACUGCACAGUCAUUUAUGCCUGAGUUGAUAUGUGGAGUCAAUCGUAAUCUGUCAAAGGCUAGAGUGCUGCUGAAAUCACUUUUCACAAUUGGUGCUACACUUGGACUGGUAUUAGGGAUUAUUGGAACUGCAGUUCCUUGUUUCUUUCCCAAUAUCUUUACACCUGAUCCCAAGGUCAUACAGGAGAAAAGAAUCUGCAUUAGGUCUAUGUUCCUGUUCUGAUAUAACUCCCAGAAAUUCAAACCUGAAUAUUUUCCUAUUUGCUAAACAUCUUGUGUCCAUUUUCACUCGAAAACUGAGACUUCCUGUUGGUCUUGGAUUGAAGAUGCACAAGGUGCUGUUACCAUACUUUCUGGCAUUAGCUGUGACCCCAAGCACUCACAGCCUUGAAGGCACUUUGCUAGCUGGACGAGAGCUUAGAUUUAUUAGCUUGUCAAUGAGUGGAUGCUUUGCUUUUGGUGCACUUAUACUGCUGCUUGUCAGUACUAGAGGAUAUGGCUUGCCAGGGUGCUGGUUUGCACUUGUGGGGUUCCAAUGGGCUCGAUUCUCCCUCUCCCUUCAACGUCUUCUUUCUCCCAAUGGCAUACUCUACUCUGAAGAUUUGAGACAGUAUGAAGUGAAGAAGCUGAGAGCGGCUUAGUUUCAGAAUCCAACAGUUGUAGAACCUCAUGCCAUUGACUACUAUUAGAUGCCAUGCAUCUUAUGUGCGUAUAUUGCUUUGCUGCUAAAGUGGCCCGAGCUUUCACCGAGUUAGCAAAGACCCUAGUGUUUUUUUUAGAAAAUGGUCCAGAUAUCAUUCAUUCUUUGAGCUCAAUAAGGAGCCCAAAAGAAGCAUAUAGCCAUAAGCAGUGUUAUGUUUAAUCUUUUAUAUAAGACAAUUUGUAAAUCCCUGCUUUAUUCAGAAUUUAGUGCAAGGAGUAAAAAACUUUGAUCA